rnacentral:rRNA from 1 species
UACGAAGGGUGCAAGCGUUACUCGGAAUUACUGGGCGUAAAGCGUGCGUAGGUGGUUUGUUAAGUCUGUUGUGAGAGCCCCGGGCUCAACCUGGGAAUGGCAAUGGAUACUGGCAAGCUAGAGUGCGGUAGAGGGUAGUGGAAUUCCCGGUGUAGCGGUGAAAUGCGUAGAGAUCGGGAGGAACACCAGUGGCGAAGGCGGCUACCUGGACCAGCACUGACACUGAGGCACGAAAGCGUGGGGAGCAAACAGG